rnacentral:rRNA from 1 species
UUUUUACGGAGAGUUUGAUCCUGGCUCAGGACGAACGCUGGCGGCGUGC